UACGUAGGGUGCAAGCGUUAAUCGGAAUUACUGGGCGUAAAGCGUGCGCAGGCGGUGAUGUAAGACAGAUGUGAAAUCCCCGGGCUCAACCUGGGAACUGCAUUUGUGACUGCAUCGCUAGAGUACGGCAGAGGGGGAUGGAAUUCCGCGUGUAGCAGUGAAAUGCGUAGAUAUGCGGAGGAACACCGAUGGCGAAGGCAAUCCCCUGGGCCUGUACUGACGCUCAUGUGCGAAAGCGUGGGGAGCAAACAGG
rnacentral:rRNA from 1 species